CUGUGAAAUGGUUAAAAUAAAUGUUUUUUCCUCCACAUAUUCUCAUUUCCCAGUGAUGAAAGAUUUAGUAAUCUGAACUUUGCAUGAAAUUCUGAAUGAGGGGUGCUCCCUUUGCAUUCUCUUUUGCAAAGGUUGAGGGACCUUUUCAUGCUAGGUUGAUAGCAGGUGUUCUGAGGGAAGUUGUGGAUGCCAUCCCUUGGUUCCCAGCAAUAAAAGAUUUAGUAAUCUGAACUUUGCAUUAAAUUAUGAUACAUCGGUGCUCCCUUUGCAAGCUUAUUGCAUGGUUGAGGAACCAUGAUUUCAUGCCAGGUUGGUGGUAGUGGGCUGUGAGGGAUUUUUGGAUGUUGGCUUUUUAAGAUACCCUUGGAUUGUGGUUUUGUCGUUUUUGCACAGACAUGUUUGGAGCAGAAGUGUCAAUCAGUUGCCUGGGAUAUUUCAGUUUAGACUGAAAAGUAAAUUUAGGUAUACUCCAUGAUGCCAACUCUUGGGAAAAUAAAGAAUUAUUUUACCCUUUUUGGUAGGGUUACAUGUCAAAAUUAUGAUGCAUGAAACUUUCUCCAAUCCUGGAACAACAUAUGCCUGUUCUCUUUAUGUUUUCUGUUAUUGCUCC